GGUUAAGCGACUAAGCGUACACGGUGGAUGCCCUGGCAGUCAGAGGCGAUGAAGGACGUGCUAAUCUGCGAUAAGCGUCGGUAAGGUGAUAUGAACCGUUAUAACCGGCGAUUUCCGAAUGGGGAAACCCAGUGUGUUUCGACACACUAUCAUUAACUGAAUCCAUAGGUUAAUGAGGCGAACCGGGGGAACUGAAACAUCUAAGUACCCCGAGGAAAAGAAAUCAACCGAGAUUCCCCCAGUAGCGGCGAGCGAACGGGGAGCAGCCCAGAGCCUGAAUCAGUGUGUGUGUUAGUGGAAGCGUCUGGAAAGGCGCGCGAUACAGGGUGACAGCCCCGUACACAAAAAUGCACAUGCUGUGAGCUCGAUGAGUAGGGCGGGACACGUGGUAUCCUGUCUGAAUAUGGGGGGACCAUCCUCCAAGGCUAAAUACUCCUGACUGACCGAUAGUGAACCAGUACCGUGAGGGAAAGGCGAAAAGAACCCCGGCGAGGGGAGUGAAAAAGAACCUGAAACCGUGUACGUACAAGCAGUGGGAGCACGCUUAGGCGUGUGACUGCGUACCUUUUGUAUAAUGGGUCAGCGACUUAUAUUCUGUAGCAAGGUUAACCGAAUAGGGGAGCCGAAGGGAAACCGAGUCUUAACUGGGCGUUAAGUUGCAGGGUAUAGACCCGAAACCCGGUGAUCUAGCCAUGGGCAGGUUGAAGGUUGGGUAACACUAACUGGAGGACCGAACCGACUAAUGUUGAAAAAUUAGCGGAUGACUUGUGGCUGGGGGUGAAAGGCCAAUCAAACCGGGAGAUAGCUGGUUCUCCCCGAAAGCUAUUUAGGUAGCGCCUCGUGAAUUCAUCUCCGGGGGUAGAGCACUGUUUCGGCAAGGGGGUCAUCCCGACUUACCAACCCGAUGCAAACUGCGAAUACCGGAGAAUGUUAUCACGGGAGGCACACGGCGGGUGCUAACGUCCGUCGUGAAGAGGGAAACAACCCAGACCGCCAGCUAAGGUCCCAAAGUCAUGGUUAAGUGGGAAACGAUGUGGGAAGGCCCAGACAGCCAGGAUGUUGGCUUAGAAGCAGCCAUCAUUUAAAGAAAGCGUAAUAGCUCACUGGUCGAGUCGGCCUGCGCGGAAGAUGUAACGGGGCUAAACCAUGCACCGAAGCUGCGGCAGCGACGCUGAUGCGUUGUUGGGUAGGGGAGCGUUCUGUAAGCCUGCGAAGGUGUGCUGUGAGGCAUGCUGGAGGUAUCAGAAGUGCGAAUGCUGACAUAAGUAACGAUAAAGCGGGUGAAAAGCCCGCUCGCCGGAAGACCAAGGGUUCCUGUCCAACGUUAAUCGGGGCAGGGUGAGUCGACCCCUAAGGCGAGGCCGAAAGGCGUAGUCGAUGGGAAACAGGUUAAUAUUCCUGUACUUGGUGUUACUGCGAAGGGGGGACGGAGAAGGCUAUGUUGGCCGGGCGACGGUUGUCCCGGUUUAAGCGUGUAGGCUGGUUUUCCAGGCAAAUCCGGAAAAUCAAGGCUGAGGCGUGAUGACGAGGCACUACGGUGCUGAAGCAACAAAUGCCCUGCUUCCAGGAAAAGCCUCUAAGCAUCAGGUAACAUCAAAUCGUACCCCAAACCGACACAGGUGGUCAGGUAGAGAAUACCAAGGCGCUUGAGAGAACUCGGGUGAAGGAACUAGGCAAAAUGGUGCCGUAACUUCGGGAGAAGGCACGCUGAUAUGUAGGUGAAGUCCCUUGCGGAUGGAGCUGAAAUCAGUCGAAGAUACCAGCUGGCUGCAACUGUUUAUUAAAAACACAGCACUGUGCAAACACGAAAGUGGACGUAUACGGUGUGACGCCUGCCCGGUGCCGGAAGGUUAAUUGAUGGGGUCAGCGCAAGCGAAGCUCUUGAUCGAAGCCCCGGUAAACGGCGGCCGUAACUAUAACGGUCCUAAGGUAGCGAAAUUCCUUGUCGGGUAAGUUCCGACCUGCACGAAUGGCGUAAUGAUGGCCAGGCUGUCUCCACCCGAGACUCAGUGAAAUUGAACUCGCUGUGAAGAUGCAGUGUACCCGCGGCAAGACGGAAAGACCCCGUGAACCUUUACUAUAGCUUGACACUGAACAUUGAGCCUUGAUGUGUAGGAUAGGUGGGAGGCUUGGAAGUGUGGACGCCAGUCUGCAUGGAGCCGACCUUGAAAUACCACCCUUUAAUGUUUGAUGUUCUAACGUUGACCCGUAAUCCGGGUUGCGGACAGUGUCUGGUGGGUAGUUUGACUGGGGCGGUCUCCUCCUAAAGAGUAACGGAGGAGCACGAAGGUUGGCUAAUCCUGGUCGGACAUCAGGAGGUUAGUGCAAUGGCAUAAGCCAGCUUGACUGCGAGCGUGACGGCGCGAGCAGGUGCGAAAGCAGGUCAUAGUGAUCCGGUGGUUCUGAAUGGAAGGGCCAUCGCUCAACGGAUAAAAGGUACUCCGGGGAUAACAGGCUGAUACCGCCCAAGAGUUCAUAUCGACGGCGGUGUUUGGCACCUCGAUGUCGGCUCAUCACAUCCUGGGGCUGAAGUAGGUCCCAAGGGUAUGGCUGUUCGCCAUUUAAAGUGGUACGCGAGCUGGGUUUAGAACGUCGUGAGACAGUUCGGUCCCUAUCUGCCGUGGGCGCUGGAGAACUGAGGGGGGCUGCUCCUAGUACGAGAGGACCGGAGUGGACGCAUCACUGGUGUUCGGGUUGUCAUGCCAAUGGCACUGCCCGGUAGCUAAAUGCGGAAGAGAUAAGUGCUGAAAGCAUCUAAGCACGAAACUUGCCCCGAGAUGAGUUCUCCCUGACCCUUUAAGGGUCCUGAAGGAACGUUGAAGACGACGACGUUGAUAGGCCGGGUGUGUAAGCGCAGCGAUGCGUUGAGCUAACCGGUACUAAUGAACCGUGAGGCUUAACCUU
rnacentral:rRNA from 1 species